UAGCGUAGGGGGCAAGCGUUUGUCCGGAAUUUAUUGGGCGUAAAGAGCUUGUAGGCGGUUUGUCGCGUCUGCUGAUGAAAAUCCGGGGCUCAACCCCGGACUUGCAGUGGGUACGGGCAGACUAGAGUGUGGUAGGGGAGACUGGAAUUCCGUGGUGAUAGCGGUGAAAUGCGCAGAUAUCAGGAGGAACACCGAGUGGCGAAGGCAGGUCUCUGGGCCGAACUACUGACGUGGAGAAGCGAAAGCAUGGGGGAGCGAACAGGA
rnacentral:rRNA from 1 species